GGACAGAGUCAGGGCAGGGCCACACUCCCAGCUGGGGCAGCCCUGCCUCGCCCGUGGGGCGCAACAAACACAAACACAAACACGGCUGGUCCCCCCAGAUCCAGCUGCAGAAUGAACAGCAUUGGACUAAAGGACCCCUGCUGACAAUGGCAGCUUUAAGUGAUGAAACCAAAGCUUUUACAAGCAAAUGCUUCACGUGAUUUUGAGCAUUUACAGAGUAACCCCAGGAUUAAUCAUAACACGGGCAGGAGAUGCUGAACUUUCCUACAGCCACAAAGGGCAAACCCUGUUCAAGCCAGAAAUUCGCCUGUUGCCACCUGGACAUGGAUUUGUGGGCCACAAAAAGCGAAUUAAUCUCUCUGGGUUCGUUAGUGAUACUUUUUCUGCCAAAAAUCUGGGUUUAUGCCCAGAAAUGUUUGAAUGA